UGUUAUCGACAUGUGAAUUCAUAGCAUGUCAGAAGGCAGACCCGGAGAACUGAAACAUCUUAGUACCCGGAGGAAGAGAAAGAAAAAUCGAUUCCCUGAGUAGCGGCGAGCGAAACGGGAAAAGCCCAAACCAACAAGCUUGCUUGUUGGGGUUGUAGGACACUCUAUACGGAGUUACAAAAGAACAUGUUAGACGAAUCAUCUGGAAAGAUGAAUCAAAGAAGGUAAUAAUCCUGUAGUCGAAAACAUAGUCGA
rnacentral:rRNA from 1 species